ensembl:snoRNA SNORA62 Small nucleolar RNA SNORA62/SNORA6 family
CCUGCACACUGUUAGAGCUUGGAGCUGAGGCCGCUGGCCGAUGAACUCACAAGUGUAGGUAGCGUGCUACACGAGGGGCAAGUUUUUCGCUACCACCACAAGGGUCUCUGGCCCAGUGAGUGGAGUUGAAUACUUGCUGCAAAA